UGUGGUGACUGGAGCGGAGCGGAACCACCCGUUCCCAUCCCGAACACGGAAGUGAAACGCUCCAGCGCAGACGAUACUUGAGGGGCAACUCUCCGGGAAAAUAUGCCGUUGCCAAAG
rnacentral:rRNA from 1 species